CCUACGGGUGGCAGCAGUGAGGAAUAUUGGUCAAUGGGCGCGAGCCUGAACCAGCCAAGUAGCGUGAAGGAUGACUGCCCUACGGGUUGUAACCUUCUUUUAUGAAGGAAUAAAGUGAGGCACGUGUGCCUUUUUGUAUGUACUUUAUGAAUAAGGAUCGGCUAACUCCGUGCCAGCAGCCGCGGUAAUACGGAGGAUCCGAGAGUUAUCCGGAUUUAUUGGGUUUAAAGGGAACGGAGAUGGGUUGUUAAGUCAGUUGUGAAAGUUUGCGGCUCAACCGUAAAAUUGCAAUUGAUACUGGCAGCCUUGAGUACAGUUGAGGUAGGCGGAAUUCGUGGUGUAGCGGUGAAAUGCUUAGAUAGCACGAAGAACUCCGAUUGCGAAGGCAGCUUACUAAACUGCAACUGACAUUGAUGCUCGAAAGUGUGGGUAGCAAACAGGAUUAGAGACCCCUGUAGUC
rnacentral:rRNA from 1 species